GUUUGUUACGGCUUGAGCUGAGCUUUCGCUCGCUGUCCACCACUGCUGUUUUGCCACCAUGGCAGACCCACCACUGACCUCCAUCCCUCCGCAUCCAGCAGGGUGUCCGCUGUGCUCCUGAUCCAGUGAGGCGCCCGUUGCCACUCCCGAUUGGGCUAAGGGCUUGCCAAUGUUCCUGCAUGGCUAAGUGCCUGGGUUCGUCCUAAUCGAGCUGAACACUAGUCACUGGGUUCCAUGGUUCUCUUCCAUGACCCACAACUUCUAAUAGAGCUAUAACAAGCACUGCAUGGCCCAAGAUUCCAUUCCUUGGAAUCCGUGAGGCCAAGAACCCCAGGUCAGAGAACACGAGGCUUGCCACCAUCUUGGAAGUGGCCCACCGCCAUUUUGGAAGUGGCCAACCACCAUCUUGGGAGCUCUGGGAGCAAGGACCCCUGGUAACAUUUUGGCGACCACGAAGGGACAUCCCAAGUGAUCCAUGCAAGGCUGGACUUAAAUGCUUCUGGGCAGAAAUCCGGAACAAUAAGGAGGCUCAUAUUGUCAACUUUUCUACUCUCAUCGUUCCUGUUACACAAUGUCUGAAAGAAAACAUUUCAAACAUUACAUCAAGUUCUUCAUUUGUUUCUUCUAUAAGCUGAGACCAUCCUUGAAAUAGACUCACUUUGGUGUAAUCAAAGUCCACCUAUAUAUAUGAUUUUCAGCAGCCCCCUCAAGCAAUGUUGCCCUGCUGCUGGGAUUCUAUUUUUACCUUCUAGAGAAGAAUUUCUCAUUUUAUUGGAGUGAUUUUCCUUGCACGUGUGGCUGACACAGUAAAACUUUCAAAUUCCUAACAAGUUGGUCUUCUGGGACUGAACAAAAAUGGGUUGAAGGGGGCAGUGGUGGAAGUAAAAAUCAUCCUUUGCUCUCACCGAAGUAGAGACAGCAGUGGCGUGUUAUCCUAAACCUGGAACUGGGAUCAGAAGAUAUGAAUUCAAGGCACUGGCUCUGCAACCAUUGUGCUUGUUGACAUUGUGAAAAUUAUAUAAUCUCUCAGCCUCAGUUACCUUAGACACAAAGGGGAAUAAGUAUGACUUAUUCUGUGCUAUUUCUGAAGAUAAAAUAAAUAUAUUUUGUGAUUUGUAAAGAAUAAUACCAAUUAUUACCAAGAGUACUCACACAAUUCAUUUUUGUGUGUAUGUAAAUAUAAAAUCAUCAUCAUUCUUUUUCCAGAGAAGACUGAAGAACAGGUAGGCUCCAUCCCUGACUUGAGAUCAAGCAGCAGGUUAGCCAAACCCAAAGAUUAGAAUUCAAUAGUCUAUGAUUCCCACUAGGUUCAUUAAUUCUUAACUGCGGCAUGAGCCAGUUUCUCUACAGAAUUACUGCCAAUAGAACAUGAUUCACUUCUUAAUUGUAAUUUCCC
rnacentral:lncRNA from 10 species